UAUGAUCACUUUUUAUGGCUACUUUAGGAGAAAUUUCGGGUUUGUUUCCUUGAUAGGGUCUUGACAGUAUUAUAAUUUAUUUCAUUUCUAUUUUUCUACGAUAAAAGAUUUAAAUCGCCAGAGGGAUGCCAUUGAGAAAACUGGAAUAGUAGUUAAUGGAAGAUGCUUUAAAGUUAAAUUUCCAGUUACUCUUGAUUACAAAACACUGAUAAUGCUGCUCAAGCAAAGAGCUGGUGAUGCCAAAAAAUAUAUCAAUGAACUUUGCAAGCAAGGAUUGGACACAGAGUGCUGUGUAUUCUGCAAAGUUAUUAAGGAAUGUGCCUCUCCUGAUGUUCCUUUUGGGGAAGCCUUUGCUGAGUGUUUCCUAAAGAGCAAAGCAAAUAUUGGGGGGUAGGUACAACUCUGCAUUUCUGCAUUGACAUGCAUAAAAAGUUCCAGCUUGCAGUAUGGUAUUUCACUUUCUAUUGGAAUACAUGUCUUUAAAUCUCACUUGGGAUACUUAGUUUGAUGGACAGUUGGCAUACUGCC